rnacentral:rRNA from 1 species
GCGGCGAACGGGUGAGUAACACGUGGGUGAUCUGCCCUGCACUUCGGGAUAAGCCUGGGAAACUGGGUCUAAUACCGGAUAUGAGCCUCCACUGCAUGGUGGGGGUUGGAAAGGUUUACUGGUGCAGGAUGGGCCCGCGGCCUAUCAGCUUGUUGGUGGGGUAAUGGCCUACCAAGGCGACGACGGGUAGCCGGCCUGAGAGGGCGACCGGCCACACUGGGACUGAGACACGGCCCAGACUCCUACGGGAGGCAGCAGUGGGGAAUAUUGCACAAUGGGCGAAAGCCUGAUGCAGCGACGCCGCGUGAGGGAUGACGGCCUUCGGGUUGUAAACCUCUUUCAGCAGGGACGAAGCGAGAGUGACGGUACCUGCAGAAGAAGCACCGGCCAACUACGUGCCAGCAGCCGCGGUAAUACGUAGGGUGCGAGCGUUGUCCGGAAUUACUGGGCGUAAAGAGCUCGUAGGCGGUUUGUCGCGUCGUCUGUGAAAACCAGCAGCUCAACUGCUGGCUUGCAGGCGAUACGGGCAGACUUGAGUACUGCAGGGGAGACUGGAAUUCCUGGUGUAGCGGUGAAAUGCGCAGAUAUCAGGAGGAACACCGGUGGCGAAGGCGGGUCUCUGGGCAGUAACUGACGCUGAGGAGCGAAAGCGUGGGUAGCGAACAGGAUUAGAUACCCUGGUAGUCCACGCCGUAA